CAAAAGCGUAUAUUAAAGUUGUUGCAGUUAAAAAGCUCGUAGUUGAACCUUGGGCUUGGCUGGCCGGUCCAUCUUUUUUGAUGCGUACUGGACCCAGCCGAGCCUUUCCUUCUGGCUAGCCUUUUGGCGAACCAGGACUUUUACUUUGAAAAAAUUAGAGUGUUCAAAGCAGGCCUUUGCUCGAAUAUAUUAGCAUGGAAUAAUAGAAUAGGACGUUAUGGUUCUAUUUUGUUAGUUUCUAGGACCAUCGUAAUGAUUAAUAGGGACGGUCGGGGGUAUCAGUAUUCAGUUGUCAGAGGUGAAAUUCUUGGAUUUACUGAAGACUAACUACUGCGAAAGCAUUUACCAAGGACGUUUUCAUUAA
rnacentral:rRNA from 1 species